rnacentral:rRNA from 1 species
GAUGAACGCUAGCUACAGGCUUAACACAUGCAAGUCGAGGGGCAGCGGGAUUGAAGCUUGCUUCAAUUGCCGGCGACCGGCGCACGGGUGAGUAACGCGUAUCCAACCUUCCGUACACUCAGGGAUAGCCUUUCGAAAGAAAGAUUAAUACCUGAUGGUAUCUUAAGCACACAUGUAAUUAAGAUUAAAGAUUUAUCGGUGUACGAUGGGGAUGCGUUCCAUUAGGUAGUAGGCGGGGUAACGGCCCACCUAGCCAACGAUGGAUAGGGGUUCUGAGAGGAAGGUCCCCCACAUUGGAACUGAGACACGGUCCAAACUCCUACGGGAGGCAGCAGUGAGGAAUAUUGGUCAAUGGACGAGAGUCUGAACCAGCCAAGUAGCGUGAAGGAUGAAGGUCCUACGGAUUGUAAACUUCUUUUAUACGGGAAUAAAGUUUCCUACGUGUAGGAUUUUGUAUGUACCGUAUGAAUAAGCAUCGGCUAACUCCGUG